UAUCCGCUUAUCGUGUGGCCUUGUGCCGACGAUAGUUCAAUCAAGUUUCUGCCCUAUCAACUUUGGAAGGUAGUUUAUUAGACUACCUUGGUUAUAACGGGUACGGGGAAUUAGGUUUCGAUUCCGGAGAGGGAGCCUGAGAAAUGGCUACCACUUCCAAGGAAGGCAGCAGGCGCGUAAAUUACCCAAUCCUAAUACAGGGAGGUAGUGACAAUAAAUAACAAGGUUGGGCUCCUAAGGGGCUCAACCAUUGGAAUGAGUACAAUUUAAAUCAGUUAACAAGGAACAAUUAGAGGGCAAGUCUGGUGCCAGCAGCCGCGGUAAUUCCAGCUCUAAUAGUGUAUAUUUAAGUUGUUGCAGUUAAAAAGCUCGUAGUCAGAACCAUGAGUGGUUAAUCUCACUUUGUUUCGUUGGUUUCCAGCGAGCAUGGUGGGAACCUACUCUUAAUUGGUUGGAUCGCUCUCUUCUGCCCUUAAUUGGGUGGUUGAGAGAGCCAGCCCGUUCACUUUGAGAAAAUUAGAGUGUUCAAUGCAGGCAACCAGUUUGCCUUUGAAUAGAUUAGCAUAGGAUGAUAAAAUAAGACUCAUUCAGUGUUUGCUGGGUUUAACUGAAGGGGUAAUGAUUAAUAGGAAUGGGCGAGGCCACUCGUAUCACACUGUCAGAGGUGAAAUUCUUAGAUUUUUGUGAGACGAACAAAGGCGAAAGCAUUUGGCAAGUACAUUUCCAUUGAUCAAGAACGAAAGUUAGGGGAUCGAAGACGAUCAGAUACCGUCGUAGUCUUAACUAUAAACCAUACGAACCAACGAUCUAGCGUCGUUUAUUGCUUGACAUGCUAGGUAGUUUGAGAGAAAUCAUUGAGUCUUUGCGUUCUGGGGGGAGUAUGGUCGCAAGUCUGAAACUUAAAGGAAUUGACGGAAGGGCACCACCAGGAGUGGAGCCUGCGGCUUAAUUUGACCCAACACGGGAAAACUCACCAGGUCCGGACAUAAGUAGGAUUGACAGAUUGAUAGUUCUUUCUUAAUUUCUAUGGGUGGUGGUGCAUGGCCGUUCUUAGUUGGUGGAGUGAUUUGUCUGGUUAAUUCCGAUAACGAACGAGACUUCGGCUUAUUAAAUAGCACAGACAAGCUUCUGAUUGGGUGAAGUAGUUGUGUCUGAUCGGUGCGGGAAACUGCGCUGUGAUGCACUUCUAUGGAACCUUGAUGACUUGGCUGUAAUUCACGCUUCUUAAAAGGACUAUUGGCGUUUAGUCAAUGGAAGUGAGGCAAUAACAGGUCUGUGAUGCCCUUAGAUGUCCUGGGCUGCACGCGCGCUACACUGUUCGGGUCAAUGAGUGAUUCACCUUGCUCGAAAGGGUUGGGUAAUCUUCUAAACCUGAGCGUGAUGGGGAUAGACUAUUGUAAUUAUUAGUCUUGAACGAGGAAUUCCUAGUAAGCGUAGAUCAUCAAUCUACGCUGAUUACGUCCCUGCCCUUUGUACACACCGCCCGUCGCUCCUACCGAUUGAAUGGUCCGGUGAAUUGCGUGGAUUGAUUGCAUGUGCGGGUAACACUGCUAGUGUUAUUGAGAAACGCAGUAAACCUUAUCAUUUAGAGGAAGGAGAAGUCGUAACAAGGUU
rnacentral:rRNA from 1 species